AGUGGCGAACUGGUGAGUAACACGUGGGUAACCCGUCCUUGAAGUAGGGGAUAACACUUGGAAACAGGUGCUAAUACCGUAUAACAACCAAAACCACCUGGUUUUGGUUUAAAAGACGGCUUCGGCUGUCACUUUAGGAUGGACCCGCGGCGCAUUAGCUUGUUGGUAAGGUAACGGCUUACCAAGGCGAUGAUACGUAGCCGACCUGAGAGGGUAAUCGGCCACAUUGGGACUGAGACACGGCCCAAACUCCUACGGGAGGCAGCAGUAGGGAAUCUUCCACAAUGGACGAAAGUCUGAUGGAGCAACGCCGCGUGAGUGAUGAAGGGUUUCGGCUUGUAAAACUCUGUUGUUGGAGAAGAACAGGUGUCAGAGUAACUGUUGACAUCUUGACGGUAUCCAACCAGAAAGCCACGGCUAACUACGUGCCAGCAGCCGCGGUAAUACGUAGGUGGCAAGCGUUGUCCGGAUUUAUUGGGCGUAAAGCGAGCGCAGGCGGUUUUUUAGGUCUGAUGUGAAAGCCUUCGGCUUAACCGGAGAAGUGCAUCGGAAACCGGGAGACUUGAGUGCAGAAGAGGACAGUGGAACUCCAUGUGUAGCGGUGAAAUGCGUAGAUAUAUGGAAGAACACCAGUGGCGAAGGCGGCUGUCUGGUCUGUAACUGACGCUGAGGCUCGAAAGCAUGGGUAGCGAACAGGAUUAGAUACCCUGGUAGUCCAUGCCGUAAA
rnacentral:rRNA from 1 species